GCUGAAAUAGCUCAGUUGGUAGAGUAAUUGAUUCGUAAUCAAUAGGUCACGGGUUCGAAUCCCGUUUUCAGCUCCA
rnacentral:tRNA from 1 species